GUAGGGAAUAUUGGACAAUGGGGGGAACCCUGAUCCAGCCAUGCCGCGUGUGUGAAGAAGGCCUUUUGGUUGUAAAGCACUUUAAGCGAGGAGGAGGCUACCGAGAUUAAUACUCUUGGAUAGUGGACGUUACUCGCAGAAUAAGCACCGGCUAACUCUGUGCCAGCAGCCGCGGUAAUACAGAGGGUGCAAGCGUUAAUCGGAUUUACUGGGCGUAAAGCGCGCGUAGGUGGCCAAUUAAGUCAAAUGUGAAAUCCCCGAGCUUAACUUGGGAAUUGCAUUCGAUACUGGGAAGCUAGAGUAUGGGAGAGGAUGGUAGAAUUCCAGGUGUAGCGGUGAAAUGCGUAGAGAUCUGGAGGAAUACCGAUGGCGAAGGCAGCCAUCUGGCCUAAUACUGACGCUGAGGUACGAAAGCAUGGGGAGCAAACAGGAUUAGAAACCCGGGUAGUCC
rnacentral:rRNA from 1 species